UACGUAGGGAGCAAGCGUUGUCCGGAAUCAUUGGGCGUAAAGCGCGUGUAGGCGGCUCGAUAAGUCUGCUGUGAAAGUCCAAGGCUCAACCUUGGGAUGCCGGUGGAUACUGUCGAGCUCGAGUCCGGAAGAGGAGUGUGGAAUUCCUGGUGUAGCGGUGAAAUGCGCAGAUAUCAGGAGGAACACCGGUGGCGAAGGCGGAUCUCUGGGCCGAUACUGACGCUGAGGAGCGAAAGCGUGGGGAGCGAACAGG
rnacentral:rRNA from 1 species